CCUACGGGAGGCAGCAGUGGGGAAUAUUGGACAAUGGGCGAAAGCCUGAUCCAGCCAUGCCGCGUGUGUGAAGAAGGCCUUCGGGUUGUAAAGCACUUUCAGUGGAGAAGAAAGCCUUGGGGCUAAUACCCUCGAGGAAGGACAUCACCCACAGAAGAAGCACCGGCUAACUCCGUGCCAGCAGCCGCGGUAAUACGGAGGGUGCGAGCGUUAAUCGGAAUUACUGGGCGUAAAGCGCGCGUAGGCGGUCUGAUAAGCCGGUUGUGAAAGCCCCGGGCUCAACCUGGGAACGGCAUCCGGAACUGUCAGGCUAGAGUGCAGGAGAGGAAGGUAGAAUUCCCGGUGUAGCGGUGAAAUGCGUAGAGAUCGGGAGGAAUACCAGUGGCGAAGGCGGCCUUCUGGACUGACACUGACGCUGAGGUGCGAAAGCGUGGGUAGCAAACAGGAUUAGAUACCCCAGUAGUC
rnacentral:rRNA from 1 species